GAGGUUAAGCGACUAAGCGUACACGGUGGAUGCCCUGGCAGUCAGAGGCGAUGAAGGACGUGCUAAUCUGCGAUAAGCGCCGGUAAGGUGAUAUGAACCGUUAUAACCGGCGAUUUCCGAAUGGGGAAACCCAGUGUGACUCGUCACACUAUCAUUAACUGAAUCCAUAGGUUAAUGAGGCGAACCGGGGGAACUGAAACAUCUAAGUACCCCGAGGAAAAGAAAUCAACCGAGAUUCCCCCAGUAGCGGCGAGCGAACGGGGAGGAGCCCAGAGCCUGAAUCAGCAUGUGUGUUAGUGGAAGCGUCUGGAAAGGCGCGCGAUACAGGGUGACAGCCCCGUACACAAAAGCGCAUGUGCUGUGAGCUCGAUGAGU
rnacentral:rRNA from 1 species